CCCUUAGAAGUCCUGGGCCGCACGCGAGCUACAAUGACGUAUGCAACAAGUUCAUCCUGCUCUGAAAAGAGUGGGUAAUCUUUACAAUGUACGUCGUGCUAGGGAUAGAUCUUUGCAAUUUUGGAUCUUGAACUAGGAAUUCCUAGUAAGCAUAAGUCACCAGCUCGUGCUGAUUACGUCCCUGCCCUUUGUACACACCGCCCGUCGAUCCAACCGAUCAGUGAUGAGGUCGAAUACUUCGGACACGCUCACAAGAGAGAUGGUGGAAGAUGUGUGAGUCCUAUCACUCAAAGGAUGGAAGAGUCGUAACA
rnacentral:rRNA from 1 species